AACGAACGCUGGCGGCAGGCCUAACACAUGCAAGUCGAGCGCCCAGCAAUGGGAGCGGCAGACGGGUGAGUAACACGUGGGAACCUUCCCUAUAGUACGGAAUAGCCCAGGGAAACUUGGAGUAAUACCGCAUACGCCCGAGAGGGGAAAGAUUUAUCGCUAUAGGAUGGGCCCGCGUAGGAUUAGCUAGUUGGUGAGGUAAUGGCUCACCAAGGCGACGAUCCUUAGCUGGUCUGAGAGGACGACCAGCCACACUGGGACUGAGACACGGCCCAGACUCCUACGGGAGGCAGCAGUGGGGAAUAUUGGACAAUAGGGCGCAAGCCUGAUCCAGCCAUG
rnacentral:rRNA from 1 species